GUGCCAGCAGCCGCGGUAAGACGAACCGUGCGAACGUUGUUCGGAAUCACUGGGCUUAAAGGGCGCGUAGGCGGCUUGCCGAGUCAGGGGUGAAAUCUUUCGGCUCAACCGGAAAACUGCCCCUGAGACCGGCGGGCUGGAGGGAGGUAGGGGCAGACGGAACUUCCGGUGGAGCGGUGAAAUGCGUAGAUAUCGGAAGGAACACCGGUGGCGAAGGCGGUUCUCUGGGCCUGACCUGACGCUGAGGAGCGAAAGCGUGGGGAGCGAACAGGAUUAGAUACCCUCGUAGUCC
rnacentral:rRNA from 1 species